rnacentral:rRNA from 1 species
GAUGAACGCUAGCGGUGCGCCUUAUACAUGCAAGUCAAACGGCCCUUUUAGGGCAGUGGCAAACGGGUGAGUAACACAUGGGCAACCUACCCUGAAGUGGGGAAUAACCCAUCGAAAGAUGGGCUAAUACCGCAUAAUCUCUUGGAGUGCAAUUCUCCAUUUGCAAAGAUUUAUCGCUUUAGGAGGGGCCUGUGCCUGAUUAGUUAGUUGGUAAGGUAAUGGCUUACCAAGACUGUAAUCAGUAGCUGGACUGAGAGGUUGACCAGCCACACUGGAACUGAGACACGGUCCAG